rnacentral:rRNA from 1 species
UACGGGGGGGGCAAGCGUUGUUCGGAAUUACUGGGCGUAAAGGGCUCGUAGGCGGCCAACUAAGUCAUACGUGAAAUCCCUCGGCUUAACCGGGGAACUGCGUCUGAUACUGGAUGGCUUGAGAUUGGGAGAGGGAUGCGGAAUUCCAGGUGUAGCGGUGAAAUGCGUAGAUAUCUGGAGGAACACCGGUGGCGAAGGCGGGUCUCUGGGCCGUAACUGACGCUGAGGAGCGAAAGCGUGGGGAGCGAACAGG